rnacentral:rRNA from 1 species
GACGAACGCUGGCGGCGUGCCUAAUACAUGCCAGUAGAACGCUGAAGGAAGGAGCUUGCUCUUUCUGGAUGAGUUGCGAACGGGUGAGUAACGCGUAGGUAACCUGCCUGGUAGCGGGGGAUAACUAUUGGAAACGAUAGCUAAUACCGCAUAAAAUUGAUUAUUGCAUGAUAGUCAAUUAAAAGGUGCAACUGCACCACUACCAGAUGGACCUGCGUUGUAUUAGCUAGUUGGUGGGGUAACGGCUCACCAAGGCGACGAUACAUAGCCGACCUGAGAGGGUGAUCGGCCACACUGGGACUGAGACACGGCCCAGACUCCUACGGGAGGCAGCAGUAGGGAAUCUUCGGCAAUGGACGGAAGUCUGACCGAGCAACGCCGCGUGAGUGAAGAAGGUUUUCGGAUCGUAAAGCUCUGUUGUAAGAGAAGAACGAGUGUGAGAGUGGAAAGUUCACGCUGUGACGGUAUCUUACCAGAAAGGGACGGCUAACUACGUG